rnacentral:rRNA from 1 species
UGUGAGUAAUGCAUCGGGACGUGCCCAAUCGUGGGGGAUAACGCAGCGAAAGCUGUGCUAAUACCGCAUACGAUCUAUGGAUGAAAGCGGGGGACCUUCGGGCCUCGCGCGAUUGGAGCGGCCGAUGUUAGAUUAGGUAGUUGGUGGGGUAAAGGCUCACCAAGCCGACGAUCUAUAGCUGGUCUGAGAGGACGACCAGCCACACUGGAACUGAGACACGGUCAGACUCCUACGGGAGGCAGCAGUGGGGAAUUUUGGACAAUGGGCGCAAGCCUGAUCCAGCAAUACCGCGUGCAGGAAGAAGGCCUUCGGGUUGUAAACUGCUUUUGUACGGAACGAAAAGGCUCUUUCUAAUAAAGAGGGCUCAUGACGGUACCGUAAGAAUAAGCACCGGCUAACUACGUGCCAGCAGCCGCGGUAAUACGUAGGGUGCGAGCGUUAAUCGGAAUUACUGGGCGUAAAGCGUGCGCAGGCGGUUUUGUAAGACAGACGUGAAAUCCCCGGGCUCAACCUGGGAAUUGCGUUUGUGACUGCAAGGCUAGAGUACGGUAGAGGGGGGCAGAAUUCCGCGUGUAGCAGUGAAAUGCGUAGAUAUGCGGAGGAACACCGAUGGCGAAGGCAGCCACCUGGGUCAACACUGACGCUCAUGUACGAAAGCGUGGGGAGCAAACAGGAUUAGAUACCCUGGUAG